rnacentral:rRNA from 1 species
AUUGAACGCUGGCGGCAGGCCUAACACAUGCAAGUCGAACGAGUGGCGGACGGGUGAGUAAUGUCUGGGCAACUGCCUGACGGAGGGGGAUAACUACUGGAAACGGUAGCUAAUACCGCAUACCAUCAGAUGUGCCCAGAUGGGUUUAGCUAGUUGGUGGGGUAACGGCUCACCAGGGCGACGAUCCCUAGCUGGUCUGAGAGGAUGAGCAGCAACAUGGGAACUGAGACACGGUCCAGACUCCUACGGGGGGCAGAAGUGGGGAAUAUUGCACAUUGGGCGCAAGCCGGAUGCAGCAAUGCCGCGUGGAUGAAGAAGGCCUGCGGGUUGUAAAGUACGUUCAGCGGGGAGGCGGUACCCGAAGAAGAAGCACCGGCUAACUCCGUGCCAGCCGCCGCGGUAAUAC